AUUAGGUCAACUCUUAACCUAAUCGGGUCCAACCCAACUGAAUCCAAUUUAAUUGGACUUGAUCCAAAAAUAAUUACUCAAUCAAAUUGAGUUAAUUAAUGAUCAAAUCACUAAUAAAACCUCUCAUAAAUACUUUGUGCAAAUCUGAUGGGCAAUCGGGCAUCAGAAUUCAUCGAUAUGUAACCCUGAUCGAAAAGUCCCAACCAGUGGGACUCUUGACCCC
rnacentral:lncRNA from 1 species